rnacentral:tRNA from 1 species
GUUAAURUAGCUUAUUAAAAGCAAAGCACUGAAAAUGCUUAGAUGGAUGCAAGYAUCCCAUAAACA